CAGCGCCCCGGCGAGGCCUCACCCAGAGGGGGCCCCCCGCCGGCGAGACCUGCGGCGCGAGGAAGCCCGGCCGUCCUACGACGCCCCUGACGCCCCCCACAAAGCUCUCCGCGGGGCGCACAGCCGCGGACCCAGUUCUCAGAAGCCAGGCCUCGAGGGCUCGACAGAGGAGCAGACAAAGAAAUGGAGUCAGAGCCCCAGGCUGCGGCGCUGGGACCCUUCCCGCAGGGACAGCGGCGCCGGCGGCGGCGGGGGUGGCGGGGGCGCUUCGGCGCAGGCCCACGGGAGCCUGCAGAAGAAGGGCGGCGGCUCUCAUGCCACCACCUCCAGUGAGAAGAAACUCAAAACCAAUGGGGUGAAGCCAAGCAUGUGCAGAUUCAAGUAGUAACGGACACGGUGGAUUGCAGACCCGCGGGCACCUAAACAGAGCGCCCUGGCACAAGUCACAAUCUGAAUUUCAGGACGGUUUUCAUGACUGACCUGUAAGUCGCUGACUGGCCCUUUAAGCGCAUCCCCACCCUCACCACAGCCACACUGGGCUUCUUUCCAAAGAAAGGUGUCUUUCCACAAACCUUUCUUUGUCUUGACAGUCUCAGGCAAGUGAGUGCCCUUUAGGUAAAAUUUUAACCAGGGUCUGGGCCGUGUAAAGAAAACGGCAGGGAAGGAGCAGACAGCAGCCGCCCCCAGCGCAGGGCGGGCAGUAGCUUCAGCUCCCGACCUGCAGCGGCCUCCAUGUGGAACCGAGUGUGCACCAUUCUGUACCCUGUACCCUCUGAAACGUGUGAAAUCGAGUUCUUGGUGUCUCCAUCUGCUCCAGCGCUAGGAGAGGCUCCUUCUCAAGUCCGGGAGCUUCUCUUUUGAGCAAAGUCAUUUAUCCCUAAGCCACUUGCUCUUUCCAGACCGUGGAAUCUAGCACUUUCAUCGUUGUGUCUUUCCUUGAAGGUAGUUUAAAUGUGGAGGCGGCGGUGAAGGCCACCCUUGGAGUCUCUGUAUUUGAGGUGGAAGCCGUGCAGGACUCUGUGCAGCUGUAAGUUAUGGGUCUCAGCGGGCCUCCCACUGUGUGUGGGAGGGAAACGUGGCAUUUUGGCACCCUAGCGUCUCCGGCACGCACGGCUCCUGGAAGAAGAUGCAUGGGAAAACCACGUUUCGGAGCUCGUGCAUCGAACGCCUACAGCCAGACGCACACGGAGCCACACGUGACUGUCCCAGCCGUCCCACUACUGACCUGAGACCCGGAUACGCGGUGGUGUGGCGUCAGCGUAAGGGUCGUUUCACUUUGUCAAAACAGGAUUUUAUCACCUUGCUUCUGGGCAGAGGAGUGAGGACACAUUUCAAGACGGAGCGGGGAGUGGAAUAGGAAUCCUGGGGAUGACUGAGUGUCCUCGGCCCCCGGCCUCUCCUGGAUGCUUCCUGUUGGCUGCCGUGAAGUGACACCGCCUGUCUGCCCAGUUGCGCUGGGGCACUUCGUGGAUGACUGUGGAUGUCUUUAAAACCUGCAGCUGACUGCUGCCCACCCGGUAUGCUUCAGUGGCCGUAGCUGAUUUUAUGUCUUUAAAUGCUCAUUCUCUUUGUUUUCAUACACACUGGUUUCAAUUUUUUCACUUUUGGGGCAAACUAAAAAGUUGACUCUUAUCUUUUGAGAAUGCAUUCCGGCCUGCAGGCUCCACGGAGCAGCCAUUGCAUCUAAGACGCUUCAAGUUAAUAGCAGAAGGACAAGGUGCCUUUGUAAAUAAGGUAAUAAUGGGCAAAAGUUCAAUGUUAAGGUCCCGCUUUAAAAUCGGACUUUGAUAAUAUUCAACAACAUGUAUACCUUGUCACGGUCGGUUUUCUCUUCCAAGACUUUAUUUCUAGAUUUUCACAGAUUCCCGCUUAGAGUCUUUCUCUCUCACAGCACCCGCGGGACAAAGCAUGCCCUUAGCGCUAAGCCCUCGGACCUUUGGAUGCGAGCAGACGCGUCCGGUGGGCAUCCGUUCCCGCGGUCUCGGUGAUGCGGUGACUUCGACACUCGGUGUCUGUCUUGUAGUUUCAAAACAGCGCUGUUCCUGCCUCACCUUUCUGUGCUUCCUGAGCGGCCCCCGUGUGUCCUGUGCCUGCCCUGCUCCUCGUGAGGCUGAUGGACUCGUCCUUUAUACACUGCACCUCGUUCACGAUCCUUCCUCUGCUCAGAUUCUUAUGCACUUUUGAUAACGUUUCAGGGCUGAUGAGUCUCGGUCGGCACGUUAUACAUGGAUACGUGCUCGGUCACUGACGUGACGGGCUUCGGGCUGAGUCCCGCCUUCUCUGCUCACGCUCCUUGUGGGCUCCCUUGGACAUCCCCCAGGGCCACGGGCUGCUUUGCCUCGCGAGUGUUGGAGCCAAAGACCAUCAUGAUGAAGAAAUUUAUAGCUGGUGCCUCAGAUGCUCCGUUUGCUCCUGCUGUUUGAGUUGGAGUCAGUUGCCGACUUUGGGGAAUAGUUCUAAUGUCACGUGUUAAGGCCAUUUUAAAAGGCUCUGAAAGUGACUUCGCCUGUUUCCGUCUUUGCCUCCGGUCGAUGCUCUUUUCCCCAGUAUUCUUACAGGGGAUGGGAGCGCCAGAUGAGCCGCCGGGGCUCACUACGGAACAAAGGCACAAUUUGAAUUCCGUGGUUUCUGACGCACAUCCCGGUCACAGCCCCCUUCUCUAAAUGCUCAGACAGAAGCGUGGCCAUUGUCACACAGACGGCGCUGGCACGUGGAGUCGGGGCCUCCUCUGGCUGGUCAGGUCUCAGCCGCCGGGCGUCCUGCUAGUCUGGGGACAGGAGUCAUUCAUUCAGUAUUCAGAGAAGUGCCUCUCAUUUCUGGGGAAUUGUUUACGUCCAUGUUGUGUUUAAACCAAUUAAAAUAAUCCAAGGUAAAAAAAAAAAAAACCAAAAGUGUAGAGAAUGUAAGAGGAAUUAAUUACUUCAGACUUAGAAUCAGUGGAAAACGUAAAGACAUACAAACACAAAUUGCAAAAGUAUAUCAGCAUUAGCUACAGUUAUUGAGAUUGAGGCUGUGUCUCAAAUCUCUGACAGCUGGAUUGGCCAAAGUUGUGGAAGUGACUUGCAGGGCGGGGUGGGUGCCCCGUGUCGGCAAAGAUCGGGCCGUCAUUGAUCCCACGGCAGCUUCGGGCUGAGGGAGGAAGGCUUGCGGUGUCUCUUAGGCUAUUCGGUUAGUUUCCAGAGAGACGGAAGAAUCUGUACCUUCCGUGAGUUAAGUAUUGCCUGAGUCCCCUCACGCUCACUUACUGAGUAAUUAAAAAUAUAGAACUCGAGGCGGUACUGGAUUUUGAGGUAACAGAGAAGCAGUAUUUAGUAUGUGUUCGUGUGCAUGUACAGAGCUCCGUUUCAGAUGGCCUGACUGUUGGGCAUGUUUGUAUUUGCUGUUACAAUUACUGUCUGCUGGGUUUUGUACAUAAUAAAACAGAACGUGUCUACGUUUUUGUGACUCCGGACUUGUCCUUCCUGGAGAUCACUUAAUCGGUAGGAAAUACUGUCUGCAUUUUUUGGAUGUGGUUUUGUUUUGCUUUUCUUGCAGUUCUCUUCCUGUUUGUCUCUCUUCUCCCUAGUCACCUCACAGAGCCACUGGGGAGGGGACUCUGCCCCCAUCCUUUCUUAAUCCCGAGCCUCGUAGGUGACAACAUUACUGGACGCACCUGAGAAGCACCGCUGGUGAUGCUCUGCGUCCCUCUUCCUCUUAAGCCCCCAGAAGGUGCUGACUUCCUGGGGACCCGGCAUGGAAAUUCAGUAAAACUAAAGUGACAUGUGACGGAAGGGGUCACGCAUGAACUUGCAAGUGCAGGACUGAGCGCCAGCCGGCCCGGGGAGGGCACCUGGGCGCCGCAGGCACUCUGAAAGGCCCUUUGCUCCUUCUUCUAAACUCACGUGUGGCAAGCAGGUCACACUCGGCCCCCGCGGACUCGGGCCAGCUCCGCACACCGCGGGCCCGUCCUCAAGCCUGCUGACGGUGACGGGGUUCCGCACACGCCACCCGAUGCGUGACGUCUGGCGUGCCGACUUCCGCGAGCCAGAGCACUUGAGAAACAGCAAAUCGAAGGGAAAGACCCUCCCCUUCCUUUCUCUUCAAAGCAGGCGAGGAAAUUCCCAUGGGGAAGACCUCCUCCCUGCGCCAGAGAGGAAGUACCUCGCCUACCCUCAGGGAUGAGAAGUUGGGCCCCCCACACGGUCUCCUGCACCCCAGCACCAAGCAGCUUAAUCCUCAGGACCAGCCGAAAAGGACCCUAAGAGGGGCCAGAGAAGCUGAGUUCGCCACCCCAAAGGACCCCUCUUUCACCGAAGGAUUAUUUUAGGCUGAUUACAUUUCAGAAGCAGCACCCACACAGGAAAAGCUCUGAAAACGGAGCAGAAGGUACCCUU